CCUANGGGUGGCUGCAGUCGAGAAUAUUCGACAAUGGGCGCAAGCCUGAUCGAGCGACGCCGCGUGCAGGAAGAAGGGCUUCGGCCUGUAAACUGCUUUUGUAAUGGAGGAACGCAAGUGACUGUACAUUACGAAUAAGGAGCUGCAAACUUCGUGCCAGCAGCCGCGGUAAUACGAAGGCUCCGAGCGUUAUCCGGAUUUAUUGGGCGUAAAGGGUCUCCAGACGGUCGUGUUAGUCGGGUGUUAAAUCUCUGGGCUCAACCCAGAGGCCGCAUUCGAAACGGCACGACUUGAGGCAAGGAGAGGUGACUAGAAUUCUUGGUGUAGGGGUGAAAUCCGUUGAUAUCAAGGAGAAUACCAAAGGCGAAGGCAUGUCACUGGCCUUGUCCUGACGUUCACAGACGAAAGCGUGGGUCGCGAAUGGGAUUAGAUACCCUANUANUC
rnacentral:rRNA from 1 species